rnacentral:lncRNA from 1 species
GAUCCGACUUUCAGCCUUCUGCCUUUUAAUGGGAUUGGUUUAUCUCAUCUGAAACAGUAAUUUUACGAAACACCUGAGGAGGUUAAAGCAAAUGCCAUAUUGUCCAGGUGCCGCAUGUUGGUGUUUCUUCAGUCUGGGUUCUAACCCCAAACUCAGCACAGGUCAAAGGAGGUCACCUUAGGCAGUGAACAUGCCCACCUGUGGAAAUAACCUCUGCAGUAAUGGCAGCAGCCAGCCGAGGUCCUGGGAGUCAUCUUCUGCUCUGAAGCACUUUGUGCGAUACAGCCACAUCUGAUGCAGCCUCUGACACACUGCCUCGGCAUGAUGAGGAUGAAUCACCACCAUCUUGCUUAAAAAUGAAUCCCUGCAAGCAGCAAGGCACCAUUGCACUGUGCAUCCACCAUAUCCAUGUGGUAUGGGCUGAGGUGCACAGCCAGGCCCUUGGAGCACCCCGCAGCUGAGCAAUGUAUUACUGGCAUUCCUCUACCAGCUAAAGGACCUAUGCAGGAUUCCUCUCCAUGUUGGACUUGCAUUAGCAAGAAUUGAUGUCUUUUCUUGCAGUUUGCAUGACUGGUGGGCCUCCCCCUGCCCAGGGAGCUGUGUUGCACCUCC